rnacentral:tRNA from 3 species
GGGGCUAUAGCUCAGCUGGGAGAGCGCUUGAAUGGCAUUCAAGAGGUCAUCGGUUCGAUCCCGAUUAGCUCCACAA